GUGCCCGAGGGUCGCGCGUCACUCGGGGCGCGGCCGCCCCCAGACACCUGCAGGUGUGGCCGCAGGAGCCGCAGGGACAGCGGAGCCAGCGCUGUGCGAAUGAAAAGUGUGACCUGACAGCUGGUGGGUCUUUUGAGAAAAUCUGUGGACUGUUCUUAGAAAGAUGAAAAUUCUAUCUUCUAUACCCAUCUGAAAAGCAAGUGGUUUUUGUGCUUCCUAAACCCAAAAGUCUUCUAAAGCCCCAGAUCAAGACUGUUUUAACAGCAGGAAUUGAAGAAGAGGCUCUUGCGAGCACAUCUGUGGCAAGAGGACAAUGUCCCCAGCCAGGCUAUUUCACGUCUGACAUCCUGCAGCAAGGGUUUCCCGUGACCAAAUUUUCAUCCAUGCAGAGAGGAGAGACAUAGGUACUUGAUGGGAGAUGUAACCUAUCCGGGACAUUUGCCUAUGUUUGAGACAUGUUUAACCAGAUUUCCAGAUUGAGUUUCUCAUUUUCAGUUGAACAUAUUUUGCUUUUCAACCUUCUUGGUUUUGUCCCAGUUACUGUACUUUUCUAUGGACAGACCAAAUAGAGAGAUCAUACUUGUUCUUAAUAUACCCUUUUCAGGACAAAAACCCCAGGCAUUUUAUGGGGGUUGCUUCUUAUUUCUUCCAUUAGAGGCAUCUCUGAAAACAUCUAUAUUUUUCCAUUUAGUAAGGACAGCUCAUCUGAUAAUCAGUCCAAAAUACUGCCUCUGACAGUGAGAGGUAAAGGAUUGCUGUAUUCUUGCUUUUCUCUCUCUUUUUUUUUUCUUUUUUUUUCCUUUUUGGUUUUUGUUUGCUUGUUUGUUUUUGUAGUUUUUUUGUUGUUGUUGGUUUGGAGGUUUUUUUGCAUAUCUCUAUUUAGAACAGCUACUAAUAUUUACAGAGCAAUGUGUGAAGAAAAGGCAUUUGUUAGUAUGUGGCUUUAGAGGGAAGAAUUUCUUUUGUGUAUGCUGCUUCCACAAGCCAGAGCAGUAGAAAGCUUUUCUACUCAAGACCUCUGUAAGUUCAUUGUAUUUAAGAAGGUGUUGGUUUGGUAAGAUGGUUAAUUAUUUUUGUUUAAAAAUACAUAAGCAGUUUAGCUGAGUUAUUUAAAAUCCAUUUGGUUUCAUUAUAGUAGAUAUUUAGUCCCUUGCCAUUUACAGUGUAUUUCUCAAAAUAGUUUUCUCCCUUCUGUCAUUGCUAGCUGCCUUUGUUUCUAUCAAAAUAUGAAACAUUUUAAAAUUACAUUAAAAUGAUUUAAAAUUAGGCUGUUGUAGUGGGUUGAA